GGGCCCGUAGCUCAGCCUGGACAGCAUCGGCCCUCUAAGCCGGGGGCCGUGGGUUCGAAUCCCACCGGGCCCGCCA
rnacentral:tRNA from 1 species